rnacentral:rRNA from 1 species
GUGGGGAAUAUUGGACAAUGGGCGAAAGCCUGAUCCAGCCAUGCCGCGUGUGUGAAGAAGGUCUUCGGAUUGUAAAGCACUUUAAGUUGGGAGGAAGGGCAGUAAGUUAAUACCUUGCUGUUUUGACGUUACCGACAGAAUAAGCACCGGCUAACUUCGUGCCAGCAGCCGCGGUAAUACGAAGGGUGCAAGCGUUAAUCGGAAUUACUGGGCGUAAAGCGCGCAUAGGUGGUUUUGUAAGUUGGAGGUGAAAUCCCCGGGCUCAACCUGGGAACUGCCUCCAAAACUGCAUGACUAGAGUACGGUAGAGGGUAGUGGAAUUUCCUGUGUAGCGGUGAAAUGCGUAGAUAUAGGAAGGAACACCAGUGGCGAAGGCGACUACCUGGACUGAUACUGACACUGAGGUGCGAAAGCGUGGGGAGCAAACAGGAUUAGAUACCCUAGAGUCC